AGAAAUUUAGGUUACAUCACUUUAAACCAAUAGCCUUCAAAACUAUAAAAAUGAGUAAAACCCUCAUAAUUUCUG
rnacentral:tRNA from 1 species